AGAGUUUGAUGGUGGCUCAGAUUGAACGCUGGCGGCAGGCCUAACACAUGCAAGUCGAGCGGUAACAGAGAGUAGCUUGCUACUCUGCUGACGAGCGGCGGACGGGUGAGUAAUGCUUGGGAAUAUGCCUUAUGGUGGGGGACAACAGUUGGAAACGACUGCUAAUACCGCAUGAUGUCUACGGACCAAAGUGGGGGACCUUCGGGCCUCACGCCAUAAGAUUAGCCCAAGUGGGAUUAGCUAGUUGGUGAGGUAAUGGCUCACCAAGGCGACGAUCCCUAGCUGGUUUGAGAGGAUGAUCAGCCACACUGGGACUGAGACACGGCCCAGACUCCUACGGGAGGCAGCAGUGGGGAAUAUUGCACAAUGGGCGCAAGCCUGAUGCAGCCAUGCCGCGUGUGUGAAGAAGGCCUUCGGGUUGUAAAGCACUUUCAGUAAGGAGGAAAGGUUAAGUGUUAAUAGCACUUAGCUGUGACGUUACUUACAGAAGAAGCACCGGCUAACUCCGUGCCAGCAGCCGCGGUAAUACGGAGGGUGCGAGCGUUAAUCGGAAUUACUGGGCGUAAAGCGUACGCAGGCGGUUUGUUAAGCGAGACGUGAAAUCCUAUGGCUCAACCAUAGAACUGCUUUUGAAACUGG
rnacentral:rRNA from 1 species